CCCCUCACUCCUCUGAGACCACACGGAACCCCAGCCUUUGCGACAGACAGCAGCAGAGGCAGUGAAAGAACUAAAAGCCUCCCAGCUAAUGUUUCUGGAGAGGAGCCCUGCUUCACACCAGGUUCUCAGAGGCACAGAAGCCACUGUUAAGCUCCUGCGGGAUCAUCUAAAGGCUCCGGAAAUAACUCUGUGGAGGCUCUGAAACCUAAGGGCCUUGAGGACCUUCACAAGAGCAAGUUUCUACCAACGCUGGCCUGGCAACAUGCCCCAUGAAGUUCCUGUAGGGUUGACAGGUUGGUUGGUCUGUGUGCCCCCAGAAGUUCCUGGUGCCUCCGCUGUGGCUGCCAAUCAGCAUGAAGCAU